GAAUUUUCAUGUUUUUGAAAUCGAUUGUGUUUUAGGUAUGAUUGAUUUUCUGGUUAAAAUGGAUUUGGGGAUUGGGGACGUUGUUGCGCCAUCGUGGACGCCGCCAAUUUAUGCUUUUUAUCUGGUAAUCCUGUUUUCAUCACCCCUCCCCCACCCCCCUUGUUGAUUGAGGUCUCUGCUUUGAUUUGGAUUGGGAAACCCCUAAUUACUUGCUAUUUAUUUUGGAGCAUUUGAGGCUUGAGGAAUCUUGAUAAUAGAAGUUGGAGAAGGGAAAUUUGAUGGGUUAGUUUGAAGUUGGAAAUUAGUAUGGACCUUGAACUCUGUUUUGAUUAUAAGCAGCAGGAUCUCUAAGGUCAUUCUCUGUUAGUUGGUUGUCGUAGGAUCUAGUUGGUUUCUUAGUGCAUAUGUGUGAGUUCAGUUUGCUGAGUCUUUAGCAAUGUGAAUUAAGCAUGUCAUGAUCUUUUGAUUGUUGUUAAGUGCAUGUCUAAAUGUGUGUUUAUGGACAAGUUUAUAUAUAAGUUUAAUUGUUAAGUUGAGAUUGAAGUAGUAACGAGUAAGAGGAUGAAUGGGAAUUAAUGCUUUAUGAAUUGGUAAUGAAUCAAGUUGCUGACAUUAAAAGGAUGAAUGACUUUGCUGCAGAUCUUCAAAUGUUUGCUUUAGGUCAAAAUGACUGUUUGUAAUUGAAUAGAAACAGAGUUUUCAGCCAGCCAACCUAAAUCAGGAUCAUGAAGCUUUUAUCAAUCAAUUGCUUGUGGAACUUGAUGGGUUUGAGAAACAAGAUGGGGUUGUAUUGAUGGCUACUACUAGAAAUCUCAAGCAAAUUGAUGAUGCCUUAAAGCGGCCUGGUCGCAUGGAUAAAGUAUUUCAUCUUCAAAGGCCAACUCAAGCAGAAAGGGAGAAGAUACUACACAUAGCUACAAAAGAAUCAAUGGAUAAUGAGCUCAUUGAUUUUAUAGAUUGGAGAAAGGUUGCUGAAAAGACUGCUCUUUUAAGGCCUAUAGAAUUAAAGCUGGUACCUGCAUCGUUGGAAGUUAGUGCCUUUAGGAGCAAGUUUCUCGAUAUGGAUGAGCUUAUGAGAUACAAUAGUUGGUACCUAAAAUGAGCCUAAACCUAAAAUGAGACUCUUUGAAGGUCUGGUAUUGAUUCUAUUCUCCCUCUGUUCACUAAAUUUUAGUCUUCCCAUAUUUUUCUUCCAAAAUUUUACUUGGAUUAUCUAUACACGACCUCAUUUAUGCACCCGAAAUAGUUUCACUCAAAAAUGAAAUUUUGAUAUGAGAAUCAAUAAUUUGAUUAAGAUCUUACAGUUUUGCUGUUCUCUAAGGUUGAAUUGCUCCCAAAAGGGUUGGAACCCUGGUUUCAAAUAUUUCCAGUAAGCUUGGAAAUCCGAUUUUGUUUAACAGAGGGUAUGAUUUUCUUGAGCAAUAUCAGUUGCUCUGUAUUUAUUUUUCUCUAGUUCAAUAUUGCAUGUAAAGUAUCGUUGUAAAUAGCAUUAUGGUCUCAGAGUUUACUGCAUGAUUAUUAUUUUUAUUGUAAAUAGGAUUAUAGUCUGACAGUUACACAUUUUGUAGAAAGAAGUUAUUGUGUGUUUGUAUUAUUGUUGUGCCAUUUUGGUAUUAGUAUAUGUUCUUGAUUUAUUUUACAAAUUGGUUUCCAAGUAAAGUUUAGCUAAUUUCUUUUUAUUUAUCAUAUGCACACAGUAGUAUCAUGCUCUAUUUUUACCUAUGUUUCCUAGGUUAAUUCAGUCAAUGGUUUCAGUGAUACAUGAGUUGUGAUAAAAGCUGUGUAAAAUGGAUUUGAACGAAAAAACUAUUCACUUACUAUAUAACUAUAUUUUAUUCUGCAGCUGUAUUACCUUAAGUUUAACACAGAGUGGCAGUGGUGUGGUUUCUUUGCUGUUGGUUUUCUUGCAAUUAAAUCAGGUGAAUAGACUAUUUGUUAUCUAAGUUUAAGAAAACGAAAUUCAUCACUUUCUUUGAUUUGUAAUGUGAAUAAACAAGUCCAGUUUGAUAGAUGCUUAAUAGAUGCCAACAAAUGAGUUAUAUUGUAUCUACUCAUUCAUCGCUGUUUCCCCUUCUUUUUUUAUGCAUCUUUCUCUAUUAAAAAUUUCAUUAAUUAUUUUAUAUGUACUUCAAACUUGAAGACUGUCUAUACUCAACAAGUUGGGGAGACAUUUGUGCUCUGAGGUAAAUAUAAUCAAUAACUAUUUCAAUGCACUCAGUUUAUUAACACGAUGACCAUGUUCACUGAAAUAAUUUUAGCAUGAUAAAUUUGCAUAUUAACAAAAAUACUGAGAGCGAAGUCGAGAUCCAUAGCAAGAUUUGGAUAAGGUUUGGGAGGGAUCUUUCAGUAAAAGAAGAGG